GCCGGGCGCGAUGGCUCAAGCCUGUAAUCCCAGCACUUUGGGAGGCCGAGACGGGCGGAUCACGAGGUCAGGAGAUCGAGACCAUCCUGGCUAACACCGUGUUAGCCAGGAUGGUCUCGAUCUCCUGACCUCGUGAUCCGCCCGUCUCGG
rfam:Chlorocebus sabaeus isolate 1994-021 chromosome 26, whole genome shotgun sequence.